rnacentral:rRNA from 1 species
CCUACGGGCGGCAGCAGUGAGGAAUAUUGGUCAAUGGCCGUAAGGCUGAACCAGCCAAGUCGCGUGAAGGAAGAAGGAUCUAUGGUUUGUAAACUUCUUUUAUAGGGGAAUAAAGGUAUCCACGUGUGGAUAUUUGCAUGUACCCUAUGAAUAAGCAUCGGCUAACUCCGUGCCAGCAGCCGCGGUAAUACGGAGGAUGUGAGCGUUAUCCGGAUUUAGUGGGUUUAAAGGGUUCGUAGGUUGUUUUUUAAGUCAGCGGUGAAAGUGUUGGGCUCAACCCUAAAAUUAUCGUUGAAACUGGAAGACUUGAGUGUGUUAGGGGUAGGCGGAAUGCGUGGUGUAGCGGUGAAAUGCAUAGAUAUCACGCAGAACUCCGAUUGCGAAGGCAGCUUACUAAGCCAUAACUGACACUGAAGCACGAAAGCGUGGGGAUCAAACAGGAUUAGAUACCCGGGUAGUC